AUUGAACGCUAGCGGGAUGCCUUACACAUGCAAGUCGAACGGAGUGGCGAACGGGUGAGUAAGGUAUCGGAACGUGCCCAGUAGCGGGGGAUAACUACGAGAAAGCGUAGCUAAUACCGAUACCUAUUGGCGUGGGCGGUAGCGGGUUAGCUAGUUGGUGGGGGAAGGGCACACAAAGGCGACGAUCCGUAGCUGGUUUGGGAGGACGACCAGCCACACUGGGACUGAGACACGGCCCAGACUCCUACGGGAGGCAGCAGUGGGGAAUUUUGGACAAUGGGGGCAACCCUGAUCCAGCCAUCCCGCGUGUGCUAUGAAGGCCUUCGGGUUGUAAAGUACUUUCGGCAGGAAAGCGGUACCCGCAGAAGAAGCACCGGCUAACUACGUGCCAGCAGCCGCGGUAAUUC
rnacentral:rRNA from 1 species